GAUGAACGCUGGCGGCGUGCCUAAUACAUGCAAGUCGAGCGAACAGACGAGGAGCUUGCUCCUCUGACGUUAGCGGCGGACGGGUGAGUAACACGUAGAUAACCUACCUAUAAGACUGGGAUAACUUCGGGAAACCGGAGCUAAUACCGGAUAAUAUAUUGAACCGCAUGGUUCAAUAGUGAAAGACGGUUUUGCUGUCACUUAUAGAUGGAUCCGCGCCGCAUUAGCUAGUUGGUAAGGUAACGGCUUACCAAGGCGACGAUGCGUAGCCGACCUGAGAGAGUGAUCGGCCACACUGGAACUGAGACACGGUCCAGACUCCUACGGGAGGCAGCAGUAGGGAAUCUUCCGCAAUGGGCGAAAGCCUGACGGAGCAACGCCGCGUGAGUGAUGAAGGUCUUCGGAUCGUAAAACUCUGUUAUUAGGGAAGAACAAAUGUGUAAGUAACUAUGCACGUCUUGACGGUACCUAAUCAGAAAGCCACGGCUAACUACGUG
rnacentral:rRNA from 1 species